AGGGAUGUGGUCUCAUUAGGUUGCCCAAGCUGGACUUGUACUCUUGGCCUCAAGAGGUCCUUCCAUCUCAGUCUCCCAAGUAGCUGGGACUACAAGCAUGCACCACUACACUCAGCCAAAUACUUUCAAUAAUUUGCCAGCUGACAACUUGAUUGGGUUCUCCUUCAGGUUUGCAGAAGCGCCCUCGAGAAGUGUCUAAAGGAGACAGUUGAUAGCCAAACAACAGUUUUGGAUUCACUGACUGAUUAUGAAAGAAGCAGUAGACUGGUAUCAAGAAUCAGUCAGGUAGGAAAUGGAGCACUUGGUGGUGUCUUUGGCUAUGGGAAAAAGGAAAUGCCCACUGAUCCCAUUCCUGGAAAAUGGGAGAGGAGACAGAAUACCCUUCACAAUGAGGAAAAUGGGAUUAGGAAUUAGUCUCUGAUUGACUGAUAUUUGUGUCUCCAUUAUCUGAAAUCAUGCCGUUUGUUUGAAUUGUUUUUUCCAAUAUGUGCGCUGCUGGUGUUAAGUCUGAAUGAAGGAAGGGACUGGGAGUCAUUUCCUAACAUUGCUAUGGUUUGAAUGUGUCCCCUAAAUUUUAAGGUCAUCAGUGUGGGCCCCCACCCCCAUGAUGGAACUGGUGGCUUUAUAAGAAGAGGAAGAUAAGAAGGGAAAGAAAGACCUGAGCUGACAUGCACAUGCUUGACCACUUGUCAUGUGAUGCCCUUUGCCAUGUUGUGACACAGCAAGGAGGCCCUCACCAGACGCCAGUGCCAUGUUCUUGGACUUCUCAGCCUCCAUAUUCAUGAACUAAGUAAGUUUUUUUUUCUUUAUAAAUUAUCCAGCAUAUAGUAUUCUGUUAGGUAACAGAAGACAGACUAAGACAACCAUACUCCCAGUGCCUAGAUUAAUACAUACACUGUAGAUGAUUAAUACAUAUGGUUCAUAUGGUU
rnacentral:lncRNA from 1 species